ACACAUGCAGUCGAACGAACUCUUCGGAGUUAGUGGCGGACGGGUGAGUAACACGUGGGAACGUGCCUUUAGGUUCGGAAUAACUCAGGGAAACUUGUGCUAAUACCGAAUGUGCCCUUCGGGGGAAAGAUUUAUCGCCUUUAGAGCGGCCCGCGUCUGAUUAGCUAGUUGGUGAGGUAAUGGCUCACCAAGGCGACGAUCAGUAGCUGGUCUGAGAGGAUGACCAGCCACAUUGGGACUGAGACACGGCCCAAACUCCUACGGGAGGCAGCAGUGGGGAAUCUUGCGCAAUGGGCGAAAGCCUGACGCAGCCAUGCCGCGUGAAUGAUGAAGGUCUUAGGAUUGUAAAAUUCUUUCACCGGGGACGAUAAUGACGGUACCCGGAGAAGAAGCCCCGGCUAACUUCGUGCCAGCAGCCGCGGUAAUACGAAGGGGGCUAGCGUUGCUCGGAAUUACUGGGCGUAAAGGGCGCGUAGGCGGACAUUUAAGUCAGGGGUGAAAUCCCAGAGCUCAACUCUGGAACUGCCUUUGAUACUGGGUGUCUUGAGUGUGAGAGAGGUAUGUGGAACUCCGAGUGUAGAGGUGAAAUUCGUAGAUAUUCGGAAGAACACCAGUGGCGAAGGCGACAUACUGGCUCAUUACUGACGCUGAGGCGCGAAAGCGUGGGGAGCAAACAGGAUUAGAUACCCUGGUAGUCCACGCCGUA
rnacentral:rRNA from 1 species